UCGUUGGUGACCAGCGGAGGGAUCAUUGCUGGAACGCGCUUCGGCGCACCCAGAAACCCUUUGUGAACUUAUACCUAUUGUUGCCUCGGCGUAGGCCGGCCUCUUCACUGAGGCCCCCUGGAAACAGGGAGCAGCCCGCCGGCGGCCAACCAAACUCUUGUUUCUAUAGUGAAUCUCUGAGUAAAAAACAUAAAUGAAUCAAAACUUUCAACAACGGAUCUCUUGGUUCUGGCAUCGAUGAAGAACGCAGCGAAAUGCGAUAAGUAAUGUGAAUUGCAGAAUUCAGUGAAUCAUCGAAUCUUUGAACGCACAUUGCGCCCUCUGGUAUUCCGGAGGGCAUGCCUGUUCGAGCGUCAUUUCAACCCUCAAGCCUGGCUUGGUGAUGGGGCACUGCCUGUAAGAGGGCAGGCCCUGAAAUCUAGUGGCGAGCUCGCCAGGACCCCGAGCGUAGUAAUUAUAUCUCGCUCUGGAAGGCCCUGGCGGUGCCCUGCCGUUAAACCCCAAACUUCUGAAAAUUUGACCUCGGAUCAGGUAGGAAUACCCGCUGAACUUAAGCAUA
rnacentral:rRNA from 1 species